AUUCCAGCUCCAAUAGCGUAUAUUAAAGUUGUUGCGGUUAAAAAGCUCGUAGUUGGAUUUCUGCAUGGAAGGAGCGGUCCACCCUUUGGGUGAGUUACUGCUACCUUUUGUGCAUCUUCCUGAGAAGGCGUUCUUCACUUCAUUGUGAGGCCGCAUGACUCAGGACGUUUACUUUGAGGAAAUGAGAGUGUUUCAAGCAGGCAAAUGCCUUGAAUACGUUAGCAUGGAAUAAUAGCAUCGGACCAUCGUCCAGCUGUUGGUGUCUGGGCGAAGGUAAAGGUGAAUAGGGAUUGUUGGGGGCAUUCGUAUUUAACUGUCAGAGGUGAAAUUCUCGGAUUUGUUAAAGACGGACUACUGCGAAAGCAUUUGCCAAGGAUGUUUUCAUCG
rnacentral:rRNA from 1 species